AAUUAUUAAAAAUUUUAAUAUCUUUCUAAUCGAUAUUUUAAAUAAUGUCCUUUAAUUAUUAUAAAAAUUAGAUUGUUUAUUUCUUAAAUGAAUAAGCAUCUCCCAUUUUAUGGGUUAAUACUGUUUCACAUGUGGUCGACAAAUUGUCAAACUAGACAGGUCAGAUUAAUGGGUAAAGAGCUUCUCAAAGAUUUGUGCGAAGUUAAAAAGGAUGGAACGAGUAAUAUAAAGGACUUCUUUGCUUCUAGAAAGCUUACCAAACUUAAAAACCAGAUUUACUUGAGAAGAGAAUGGGACAAGAUUGUUUGGAAUGCUAAUUUUAAGGACAUUUUCAAGAAUG